UACGGAGGGAGCUAGCGUUGUUCGGAAUUACUGGGCGUAAAGCGCGCGUAGGCGGCUUUGUAAGUUAGAGGUGAAAGCCCGGGGCUCAACCCCGGAACUGCCUUUAAGACUGCAUCGCUUGAAUCCGGGAGAGGUGAGUGGAAUUCCGAGUGUAGAGGUGAAAUUCGUAGAUAUUCGGAAGAACACCAGUGGCGAAGGCGGCUCACUGGACCGGUAUUGACGCUGAGGUGCGGAAAGCGUGGGGAGCAAACAGG
rnacentral:rRNA from 1 species